UACGAAGGGGGCUAGCGUUGUUCGGAAUUACUGGGCGCAAAGCGCGCGCAGGCGGUCCUUUAAGUCGGGGGUGAAAGCCCAGAGCUCAACUCUGGAACUGCCUCCGAAACUAGAGGACUUGGGUACGGGAGAGGUGAGUGGAAUUCCGAGUGUAGAGGUGAAAUUCGUAGAUAUUCGGAAGAACACCAGUGGCGAAGGCGGCUCACUGGCCCGUUACCGACGCUCAGGCGCGACAGCGUGGGGAGCAAACAGG
rnacentral:rRNA from 1 species